rnacentral:rRNA from 1 species
GACGUAGGGCGCGAGCGUUGUCCGGAUUUAUUGGGCGUAAAGAGCUCGUAGGCGGCUUGUCGCGUCGUCCGUGAAACCCCACAGCUCAACUGUGGGCUUGCGGUCGAUACGGGCAGGCUAGAGUUCGGUAGGGGAGACUGGAAUUCCUGGUGUAGCGGUGAAAUGCGCAGAUAUCAGGAGGAACACCGGUGGCGAAGGCGGGUCUCUGGGCCGAUACUGACGCUGAGGAGCGAAAGCGUGGGGAGCGAACAGG